UAUUUUGCUUCCAGCUUCGCUCAGCUGUCCGUGUGGCUCUACCACUCUUCCUACGGUUUUCUUCUCAUUCAUCCUGGGUAGGGGUUCCUGCUCCAGAAUAUUUUGGAUCCAUACAGCAUAGACAUUGGUCAUCGCCCUCCAUAUAAAUUGUUCUCUCCACUUAUUCUGAGGAACAGUAGAAGGAUGAAGCUAUCCAUGAACGCAGCUGAGAGAAGAAAAAAGUUGAUUGCUUUAAUCACAGUAUUAUUUUGGGGAAUUGGCCAAUAUAUUUAUUCCCUCAUAAAACACCUUUAAAUGGAAGGCUGGAAAGCAACAGGAUUGGCAUUUGGUAAUGGAUACUGCUAUAUAAAUGCGAAGUGGAAUUGCUGGAUCAUAUGAUUGUGCUGUCAGUAUCACGUCCAAGAACUCCUUGCCUAACCCCCAAGCUCAACGGCAUUAUACAUGAAAGAAGCCAGUUUCAAAAGUCUGCCUACUGUAUAAUUCCAUUUGUAUGAUAUUCUUAAGACAGAACUAUAGUGACAGAGAAAAUAUUAGUGGUUGCAGAGAUGGGUAAUGGGGUGACAAUGAAAGAGUAGCAUGAGGACUUUUAUGGGGUGAUGGAACUGUUCUGUAUUCUGAUUGUGAUGGUGAUUAAACAAAUUUGUACAUGGUUAAGGCUCAUGCAACUGCAUGUUUCUCCCUGAAAUGUCAGUUUUACUGUAUCUUAAA